AAUUAACUAAAUGAACUAAAGUGAAAAACAAAAUCUGAAUGUGUAUGGUUCAUAAAUACAACAGAAAGCACUUUUUGAUUGCGGUUUUUGAGUUUUGAUUCCAUGUAUUAUCUUUAUUAUUGAUUGAGUAUUGUUUAAGUUGAAUCAGUUCCACUAAGAAACAAACAGUACAAAACUUUGUAUUUUUAAAGAGAUGAAUUUUAUCUCGAUUGUUUGUUUACAACUUGUUACCAAGGUUUGCCGUUCCCCAUUUUUAACGCCUCUCCAUUAUAUAACGUUGUUCAGAUAAAUUUUAGUUUGACAAAAAUUUUAAAAUGACAAAAAGAGUUGCCGUUGUCACUGGAAGUAACAAGGGCAUUGGAAUUGCUAUUGUUAGAGCAUUAUGUUCUAAAUUCGAUGGUGAUGUGAUUUUGACCUCUCGUGACGAGAAGCGAGGAAGAGAUGCAGUGGGGCAACUGGAAAAAGAAGGCUUACAUCCGAAAUUUCAUUUACUUGAUAUAACUGACGAGGAAUCUAUUAAAUCAUUGGCCUCUUUUAUUAAAGAACAAUAUGGAGGACUGGAUGUAUUAGUUAAUAAUGCUGCUAUUGCAUAUAAAUUUGCAGAUAAAACUCCUUUCCCUGAGCAAGCUAUGAACACAGUGAAAGUUAAUUUUUUUGCUACAUUAAAUGUGUGCCAUAAGCUUUUCCCUUUACUAAGAGAACAUGCAAGGGUCGUCAAUUUGAGCAGCUCAGAAGGACAUAUUAAUAAGGUGCCUAGUAAAGCUUUGCAGGAAAAGUUUUUGUCAAAAUCCUUAACAGAGGAUGAACUUUGUAGCUUAAUGACACAGUUUGUUGAAGAUGCAAAAGCUGGUAUUCAUAAACAAAAUGGCUGGUGUGGUUCUGCAUACCAAAUGUCAAAAGUUGGACUGACAGCUCUAACAUUUUUGCAGCAUCGUAAAUUUUCAGAAGAACCUGAAAAAGAUAUUAUCAUAAAUGCUGUUCAUCCAGGCUAUGUAAACACAGAUAUGACUAGUCACAGAGGCCCUUUAAUACCAGAUCAAGGUAUAUAAAUUAAGGAAAUUAAUAAAAAUUUAGUGCUGAGGCUCCUGUAUACUGUGCACUUUUACCACCUGGCGUAGAGUCUCCUCGAGGAGAGUUUAUCUGGAAUGACAAAAGAAUUGUUCCCUGGCUUCCUUAAUUAUCUACUAUGGCAAAUACUUCGAUGAGCUAUGAAGAAUUGAAGAUAAUUCUGCAAAAUAAUUACAUGAAAUGAAAAUUGUAUUAAUUAUCUAUUAUUAAUUAUCUUUUACUUUCACUUAUACCAUACCAAAUGAGAUUGUAAUAUUUGUUUUACGUUUUUAUAUUUAUAUAUAUAUAUAUUUUUUUUAAAUAAAUUUAUGUUGAAAGUUAA